rnacentral:rRNA from 1 species
AGCAGCCGCGGUAAUUCCAGCUCCAAUAGCGUAUAUUAAAGUUGCUGCAGUUAAAAAAGCUCGUAGUUGAAUUUCGGGACCAUCACGUCGGUCGUGCCUCGGCACGUACUGGCGUCGUUGGUUUCUCCCUUCUGACGAACCAUGAUGUCAUUUAUUUGGUGUCGUGGGGAAUCAGGACUGUUACUUUGAAAAAAUUAGAGUGUUUAAAGCAGGCUCACGCUUGAAUACAUUAGCAUGGAAUAAUGAAAUAGGACGUUGAUCCUAUUUUGUUGGUUUCUAGGAUUGACGUAAUGAUUAAUAGGGAUAGUUGGGGGCAUUAGUAUUCAAUUGUCAGAGGUGAAAUUCUUGGAUUUAUUGAAGACUAACUACUGCGAAAGCAUUUGCCAAGGAUGUUUUCAUUAAUCAAGAACGAAAGUUAGGGGAUCGAAGACGAUCAGAUACCGUCGUAGU